GGCAACUUGCCUGAGUGGUUAAAGGGUAUGACUCGAAUGAACGAUCAAUCUCGCUCACAUCAGCUAUCAUAUGGCUUCGGCCGCGUAGGUUCGAAUCCUGCAGUUGUCG
rnacentral:tRNA from 1 species